AAAGUCGUAACAAGGUCUCCGUAGGUGAACCUGCGGAGGGAUCAUUACUGAACGGCCUUCAACCUACAAACCCGUGGAAGCAACCGUGCUUCGGCGCCCAGGCGCCGUCCUUAUGUCUAGAAACGCCUGUGUCUGAUUGUAUAUUGAGAAACAAAACUUUCAACAAAGGAUCUCUUGGCUCUC
rnacentral:misc_RNA from 1 species